GAUGAACGCUGGCGGCGUGCCUAAUACAUGCAAGUCGAGCGAACAGACGAGGAACUUGCUCCUCUGACGUUAGCGGCGGACGGGUGAGUAACACGUGGAUAACCUACCUAUACGACUGAGAUAACUUCGGGAAACCGGAGCUAAUACCGGAUAAUAUAUUGAACCGCAUGGUUCAAUAGUGAAAGACGGUUUUGUUAUCACUUAUAGAUGGAUCCGCGCCGCAUUAGCUAGUUGGUAAGGUAACGGCUUACCAAGGCGACGAUGCGUAGCCGACCUGAGAGGGGAAUCGGCCACACUGGAACUGAGACACGGUCCAGACUCCUACGGGAGGCAGCAGUAGGGAAUCUUCCGCAAUGGGCGAAAGCUUGACGGAGCAACGCCGCGUGAGUGAUGAAGGUCUUCGGAUCUUAAAACUCUGUUAUUAGGGAAGAACAAAUGUGUAAGUAACUAUGCACGUCUUGACGGUACCUAAUCAGAAAGCCACGGCUAACUACGUG
rnacentral:rRNA from 1 species